UUUUAUAGACAUUUGAUUGAAAACGGGGUUAAAUACCCACAUCUCUUUAUGUGGAAAUUUAAAAUGUUGCUUAGUGUGAAGGUUUUCAUGCAGUUAACUCCCAGAAAUAAUAUUCUCACUAAAGAUAACUUGCUGCGUAGAGGUUGGAGAGGUGAUAAGAACUGCCCCUUUUGUGUAAGGUAUGAAAUUGUUAAUCAUCUAUUCUUCACUUGCUCAGUUGCAUGCUUACUCUGGAAUGUAUUAAUGUGCUUUUAA
rnacentral:rRNA from 1 species